UUAGAAAGUUUGGAGGGAGAAAGAGAAAUAAGAUAAAAUAGAUGGAGGAGAUAUAAAUAAGGGAAGAUCUAAGUUUAGAAGGAGAAUUGUACCUACGAUCAAUUUGGAGAAAAGGGAGAAAAAGCCAAAGAGAGGAGCAAGAGACCUAGAGGCUGCGGUUUUCAUCUAAUAAGAUAAGGGUGAGACUAACUCUGCAAUUCUAUUAAGUAUAUGAUUCAUAUGAUUAGAUUUAACAAGUAUAGGAUUGAUUUUAGAGAAUUUGGGAAUUAGUGUUGAGAAUUGUAAUUGAUUGUUAAUAGAUUUGAGAACCCCUUUGAAUUUGCAUACAGUAGAUUGAUGAAUAAUUGGUGUUCUAAUGAUAGGUUAAUCAUAGGGUAAUGAUUAUGGUCAAGUUUGAAGAGUAUUGGAUCGAAAACAGAGUCGAAAAGAUUUCCCCAAGGCGAAAUCGCAGCUGAACUGCGAUUUUGCUGUCAGUGUGCAAAACGCGUUUUUAUUGUCUCAGUUUGACAAGUUUAAGUUCCGAACUGGGUUUAGGUGUCUUCACGAAAGUUGUAGGUAUGGAUGUUAGCUUUCUAAUACCGUUGAUUUGACGUCUAAAUGAAUUAUAGAACUUGAGUUAUGGUCAAAUUACUGCAUGUAGGUCACAGUGAAUAUUUAUGAAUUUCAGCACAACCUUUCCCGAAUUUGAAAUGAAUACUGUAUUGAUAAAUACAUAAUUGGUCUUAGGUGUCUUCACAAAAGUUGUAGGUAUGGAUGUUAUCUGUCACUAGCCUUUGGAGGCACUCGAUUUAAGCACAUAGAACUCAAGACAUGAUCAAAAUACUACACAGAGGUCAGUAGGGAUCAACACGGUUGUGCUCUUUCCCUGAGCUUAGGAAAACCAACUUUUCUGAAAUUUUCUGUUUCGAAUUGUCCUUUGGUGUAAAUACGAAAGUUUUCGAUAAUUUUGCUAGCUUCCCAAUGACCUUGGUUUGACGUGAAAAUGAUUUUUGAUGUUUGAUUUAUGAUGAAAAUACACCAAGGAGGUCUUAGCGAAAUUGCACAGUGACAGCAUUCUUUGUUUCAUGUUCUUGCGUUUGUUUCACAUGUUUAAUGCAGGUUGAUAAAUUGAUAAUGCAGGUUGUGAUCAUGAAUUAUGUACACAGUGUACCUUGUACCCUUGUACCCUUGUUCCACAAACUCAACUUCAACAAGAACAAAUGGUCCCCCAGUUCAGGCCACGAACAACCUACGAAAAAGAUGUGAUACAAAAUCGAUUAUCUCAAGAAGAUUUGAAUGCGAGAAAUUCAAGAGAGGACAAAUGUGUUUAUGGCAAAUAUCAUGUUAGUGAUACAAAAUCGAUUAUCUCAAUAAGAUUUGAAUGAUAUUUUACAAGCUGCAAAACAGGCCACAGAUGGUGCUAGUGCUCCAAACCAGAUAAAUUCUUCAAGUUGAUGUAGUGAUGAAGACGGAAGAGAGGAAGAUUAGAAAUUGUUUUUAUCUUGGAUAUGUUUAUGCUCAUCUAAUGUUUUUUUGACGUCUAUUUUUG